rnacentral:rRNA from 1 species
GAUCAUGGCUCAGGACGAACGCUGGCGGCGUGCCUAACACAUGCAAGUCGAACGGAGAAUUUUAUUUCGGUAGAAUUCUUAGUGGCGAACGGGUGAGUAACGCGUAGGCAACCUGCCCUUUAGACGUGGACAACAUUCCGAAAGGAGUGCUAAUACCGGAUGUGAUCAUCUUGCCGCAUGGCAGGAUGAAGAAAGAUGGCCUCUACAAGUAAGCUAUCGCUAAAGGAUGGGCCUGCGU